GAGAUCAUGCCACUGCACUCCAGCCUGGGCAACAGAGCGAGACUCCAUCUCAAAAUAAAUAAAUAAAUAAAUAAAAAUACAGGCUGGGCAUGGUGGCUCACGCCUGUAAUCCCAGCACUUUGGGAGGCCGAGGCAGGCAGAUUACUUGAGGUCAGGAGUUCGAGACCAGCCUGACCAACGUGGAGAAACCCUGUCUCUACUAAAAAUACAAAAUCAGCCGGGCGUGGUGGCGCAUGCCUGUAAUCCUAGCUACUCAGGAGGCCGAGGCAAGAGAAUCGCUUGAACCCAGGAGGCGGAGGUUGCAGUGGGCCGAGAUCAUGCCAUUGCCCUCCAGCCCGGGUGACAGAGUGAGACUCCAUCUCAAAAAAUAAAAAUACAAAAAUUAGCUGGGUGUGGUGGUGCAUGCCUGUAAUCCCAGGUACUCGGGAGGUGGAAGCCGGAGAACCACUGGAACUGGGGAGGCAGAGGUUGCAGUGAGCAAAGACUGUGCCACUGCACUCCAGCCUGGGCAACAAGAGCGAAACUCCGUCUCAAAAAAAAAAGAAAAAAAAAAAAAACCCAAGUGAAAAGUAGGCAAAGGACUUGAAUAGACAUUUCUCUUAAGAUGAUAUAAAAAUGGCCAAUAAGCACAUAAAAAGAUAUUCAACAUUAUUAAUCAUUAGAAAAAUCCAACUUCAAAACCACAAUUGAAUACUACUUCAUACCUGCUAGAUCAGCUGGGAAGAAAAACUCAGAUAAUAACAAGUGUUGGUAAAAUUUGAGCUCUUGUAUAUUAACAGUGGAAGUGUAAAAUGGUGCAGGUGCUUUGGAAAACAGUUUGGCACUUUCUCAAAAUUUAACCCUUUUCCAGUUUAGAUUUUAAAAAAACACAGCUCGAUGCCAGCACUCAUUUAAUUUUACUUAAACAUGUUCUUUGAGGCUGAAGAAAAUCUGACUGAUUUUCAUGUGAAAAUAAAAUAUAAAAACUGUUCUUGGAGUUAUUUCUAAACAGAACUAACAUCAGAAUCAUCUGAACCAUCAAAAUCGUCUAUUUCAGAAAAAUCAGAUCCAUCAAAUGAAUCUUCAGCCAACAACUGUUUGAGAACGAUGCUACGUUUUUUAGGAUUUGACAUUUUCAGUGAUCAAGAAUUACUAUAUUUUAUAAACGGAAAUACAACUAAAAACAGAAUACUAUAAAUAGAAUAAUGUUUUUGUUUCCAAAGUCAAUACACUAGAGCAAUGCAAAAAUAAUAAUAAAUAUUAAUAUGCUUACUCAUGUAUUAAUAAUACAACAAUAUUUUGUGGCAAGGUUAUCUUGGAGUAAAUGCUGCAGCUGCAAGCACC
rnacentral:lncRNA from 1 species